GGGCACAUGGUGUAGCUGGUUAUCAUGCCCGCUUAGCAUGUUUAAUUGUUAUCUGUGGGCGGUCCCUGGUUCAAUUCUGGGUGUGUCCA